AAAACUAUUCAUCUCAACUAUUUUUUAUGUUUGUUGGUUAUGGUAUUUAAAAUUGAUCUCAGUGAUUAUAUUUAGUGACUUGAGAUUGGGUACUUGCUUUAUUGUAUGAGGUCUAUAAAGAAGUAUUCAGAGUUGUUGCUGCCCUAUGAAAAUAUUACUGAUCAAUAAUUACAUUAGAUCAAAAUCUUUGUUGCAAGGGCACAAUAUGCAGUAAAGUUACUAGUGAUAUGGUAUGGUAUAAGGAAUGUUGAUUGGUAGGAUAUCGUGUUUCAAUUGAAUAGAUAAAUGCAGUGAAAAUAAAAAAAAUUAUUCAACAACACGAAAUCCUAACCCAUAUAUAAGGGGUAUGAAUCAAUAUGUAAAAUUAAAUUCAAAGAAGGAUAAACCACAUACAAGCAUUUUUGGCUCCUUUUCGUCAUGAUCUCUCCACAAAUGAGACUUCCACAAUCCUUCAAAGGUAAAAAGGUUGCUACUUGUCCACACAAGAUAACAAGGUCAUCGUACAACGAAUGGAGAACUUGUAGCUAUCGGAGAAUGGAUUGAUCAAGGAGGGAGAAUAUUUCCAUAGAAAAUUAUCAAAAGAUACUAUGCUAUAUGAAUAGUGAUGGCUAGGACGAAAAUUAUUUUAAUUUAUAUUUCAUGCAAAACGACCAUUCCAAAUUAUGGAAUGGGCAUUUGUCAAUGCAACUCUAGUCAACCUUUUGUCCAUUGCAUAGAACAAACAUUCCAUAAUAUUGGAAUGGGUGUUCCUCAAUGCAAACAAGGAUGAUCAUCCCUUCUUUCUCACAAUUCUAUCCCCGUUCCAUAACACAACUUUAAGACCUCGAUAAUCAAGCCUUAUCCAUAGAUUUUUCUGUUAUGUUGUUACUAGAAUCAUGACCAAUAUACAAUUAGUUAGCCUUCUAAUCAUAGACCAAAAACAACCUCCAACUAGAGAUCAUGACCACCAAAAUGAAGAAGAGUCUAUGUAAGACAUAAACAUACCCAAAUAAAGAAAAGUCUAUGUAAGAUAUAAAUCUAUCAACGAUAUGGUUAUCGUGCAAUUGAAUUCUUUCAUCAUCUAAUAUCUCAUCAAUACUGAAGUACAAAAGUAGUGUUUAUCUUAGACAAUCAUUGCAUCGAUGUUUGACUAGUCAAACAAUGGUUGAACUAAUAUUGGAUUGAGUAAUAAUUCAAUCCCACUACAACCAUAGAUUUGUAAAACAUUGUCAUAACCUAACUACAUGACAUGAUAUAUUUUCUCAUAACUGAGAAUGAUGAAUCCUAUGUCGAUCCACUAUAGUCUCAGUGUAUUGAUAGCCUUAAAUGAAAGGUUAUAUUAAACUAGUGUCAAAAUAUGUCAAUUGAUGUAUGUCACUCUAGUGAUCUCAAGUCUAAGGAUCACAUGCUCCACUAUUUAUUAGGGAAUUUAUUUUAUGGACACUUGGAUUACUAUCUAUUUGGAAACUUUUGGUGGAUUAGUCUAGUGAACUUGCAGACAAUAUGCGCCUAUGUGUUGUAUUGGGUUAUCAACAAACAAUCUUGACAUGUGAGAUAUUGAUAGAGCUUGGAUUGCAAAAGUUUUUCAAACAAGCUCAAAAGAGAAGAUUAAGAAGAUAUUCAACAAGAAAGUGAUUUUAGAAUGUUCAAUGCAAUAGCUCAAAUAGUGGACACUUGGCAAGCUAUUAGCAUAGGAGAUACGUUAAAUGGUUAUGGGAUUGUAUAAAUAAGAGGGAGUGUGUGAGAGUGAGUUAGGAAUUAUCUUGACAAAAAAAUUAUUAAGUCAUUUCUUUCGUGUUUGAGGAGACCUGGCCUCUAGUAGCUAGUGGUUAACUUUCUUUAAAGAAUACAACAACCAUUUUCUUGUGGUUUUCCUCACUAAAUACAUUUUCCUUAUUAUCUAUUUCAUUACUUCAAUUUUUUGUUCUUUAGAGAAUACAACAACCAUUACUUCAUUGUUUUCCUUCUACAAAUUUGUGUGAAAAUUCUGUUAGAGUUAUGUAUUGAGAGUUUGCCAAAAAAUUCAUCCAAUUUCCAUCAAUUGGUAUCAGAUCACUGAUUAUGAGGAUGAAAAAAGUUGACCUCAUCAAGGACAAUGGUGGAUGGUGGUGGUUCGUUUGAUGACUAACAUAGUUGGAAAUUUGAGAAGUAUGGCCCAACGAAAUUUGUCUAUACUAUGAAGGUAAAGAGGAUCCAAAUCAUGAUUGUAAACGUAAGUCUUAGGCCAUUCUUAUGGUGGAAGAAAAUGAUUUGGAUGAUGAAGAGAUCUUAAUCGUAUUUGAAGAGGAUGUAAAGAGGAAAGAAACUAAGUUGGUUGACUCUGGUAUCCUAGAGCAAAAUCCAACAUUAUUUGAAGAUAAAUCAGUGGAAAAUGGCCACUGGAAUGAAGGAGUUGCAGAAUUUGGCAAGAUCCCAUUGUCGGAAAACCUUUCUUCACUGGAAUAUUUGAUUCAAAUGGAAACUGGAAAAAAAUUGCAGGAGGAAGAAGACGAAAAUGAGUGGAGAAGAUUUGAAGAAAUGAAUAAAGAAGAAAAUGGAAAAAAUAGGGAAAUGAAGAAGAAGACGGGAAACAUAAGAUGGAAGAAGACACUUGAAAAGAAGAUGAAAUAGGGAAAUGAAACUCCACCUGCUCUAGCAAUCCAACCCGAUCCAAAUAAGGAAAAAAGUAAAUAAAAAGAAAGAGAUACUUGGUAGCAAGCGAGGUGAUCAAGUGGCCAUUACUUUAGUAAUAAGUCAACAAUAGGAGAAAGGAAUAUGUGGCACAACAUUAGGGGAAAAGAAGAAGGGAUUAGCUGAAGAAAAAGAGAAAAAGGGGAGUAGGUGUUGCAGUAAAGGAGCAGGAAGGAAAAACUGGAGGAAUGAAGGGAGAGUGAUGACCUCUCGGAAGCUAAGUAUGGACAGUGGUGUUUCCAUUGUACUUUUGUGAUUGUUUUGCAACUUUUGAGUAGAUUAUUCAAAUUCUGGAAUCAAUAUUUUGUAAUUGAGAUUGCUGGGAAAUAGUCAUUGUAUUAAAAAGUGAUUAUGUAACCUUUAUUUGGAAAUCGAUCAAUACAAUACAUAUUUUCCUUUCUCUCUACUA